UUUCCGUACCGUUACUGACGCUCAUGCACGAAGGUGCGGGUAUCAAACAGGAUUAGAUACCCUGGUAGUCCGCACAGUAAACGAUGGAUGCUCGCGGUUCGGCCAUUAUGGUUGUGCCGCUUAGCGAAAGCGUUAAGCAUCCCACCUGGGGAGUACGCCGGCAACGGUGAAACUCAAAGGAAUUGACGGGGGCCCGCACAAGCGGAGGAACAUGUGGUUUAAUUCGAUGAUACGCGAGGAACCUUACCCGGGCUUGAAAUGUACCUGACGGGAGGCAGAGACGCCUUCUUUCUUCGGACAGGUAUGUAGGUGCUGCAUGGUUGUCGUCAGCUCGUGCCGUGAGGUGUCGGCUUAAGUGCCAUAACGAGCGCAACCCUUCCCGCCGGUUACCAUCAUUAGGUUGGGGACUCCGGCGGCACUGCCACCGCAAGGUGUGAGGAAGGCGGGGAUGACGUCAAAUCAGCACGGCCCUUACGUCCGGGGCCACACACGUGUUACAAUGGGGGGCACAGAAAGCUGGAUGCCGGCGACGGCAUUCGAAUCAUCAAAUCCCCUCCCAGUUCGGACUGGAGUCUGCAACCCGACUCCACGAAGCUGGAU
rnacentral:rRNA from 1 species